rnacentral:lncRNA from 1 species
AGGUCAAUUUGAAGAUUGACAUCUUCAUCAUAUUGAUCUUCUGGUCCAUGAAGACUGGCCUAUGUGUGACUUUGCCUACGGUUUCUUGACUCUGGCUGGCUGGCAUUUUAUACUCUCCAGUCUGUAGCUGCUGAAGUACCUGUAUUAAAUGUAAUCUUAGGUGUUGGCUUGAGACUACGAUUAACCCAUUAUUUAUAAAAUAUGGAGAUCUCUUGGGUGUGUGCACCGAUCAUGCCCCCUAUAAAUACUGACUGCUCCAUUUCAUGCUUCUCAGUCCGUUCAGCCUUUAUUCCUGUUGAAUAGUUUGGUGCAUUGAUCCUAUCGGACGGCCAGUCCAUCUUUGGCUGCACAGGAGGGGAGAACAGAGUCCCAUACUGUGGUACAUUCCGCACUGCUGAGAUGCUCUGAUUAUUCCAUGCACAUUAUUGGACAUUUGAGUGACGUUGAGUCAUUUCAACCUAAUGAACUGAUUGGAAGCUGACUCGCCCCGAGACCUGCUCUCUUCCCAUGCGCCUGUUGGGUAACCACCAGAGAAGACUGCUCAGGCAUGAAUCUUCUUCCACAUCAUCCGGUGCCUCCCUUACCUGCCCAGCUCGAAGGUCAGGAGCCAUCCUCCAUGUAUCUCGGUCCCUCAAUUCUCCAGAAAGGAGGGUGUGCUGCCUCAGAUGACAAGACAGAUCCUAAUCUCAACCACCCUGGCCUUCUCCACUGCAGUGGCCAGAACUUUUCCAUCCCCAAUGAGAUUGCAAUAGUUCUGUAGCGCCCCUGGGUCUACACUUGCUCUCCUGUCACCCAGCAUGCACACACAAGCAAGAAUGCUCUGUCCAUUGUUGUGCCUCUCCUCAACUUGAAAUUCUUAUGAAAAUUUCCUGCUUCACUUUACAUGGAAUGUGGACGCCUCACAUACCAAAAGUAGUUUACAGUGGCAACCUCCAUUUUCUGGAAGCCUAAGUUUACUGAUAUCUUGCCCACCUCCAUGGGAGCAGACCUGCCCACUCCAGUACUUCUUGCUUAUCAGAACGUCUGUCUGGUGUUGAAUGACAGUUCCAGUUAUCUUGCUAAGUCACUGAUUUGUGGAUGAAAUCUCCUCACAGUGGACCCACUCUGCUCAAGAGCCAGAACCUGUUCCUCCAGACGGCCCAUUACGGCUUCAUGUAUGAGAUAACACUGAAAUCUGACCACCAGUGACUUAGGACCAGACAUUUAUGAACAUAGACUCAAGUUCAGGUUUUAAGGCACAAAUCCAUUGUCUUUGGUACAACGUUUGGGGCUACUCUCAAUGUGGUGGAUUGAAUAUGUUUGGCACAGGGAGUGGCACUCUUAGGAGGUGUGGCCUUGUUGGAGGAAGUGUGUCACUGUGGGGGUGGACUUUGAGGUUCUUAUGUUCAAGCUCUGCCCAGUGUGGAAUGGGAGCUUCCUCCUGACUUUCUGUUGAUAGGCGUCUCCUUCUGCUGCCUUUGGAUGAACUUGCAGAUGGAUGUAGAACUCUCAGCUCCUUCCCCAGCACAGUGUCUGCCUGGAUGCUGCCAUGCUUUCUGCCAUGAUGAUAAUAGACUGAACCUCUGAAACUGUAAUCCAGCCCCAAUGAAAUGUUUUCCUUUCUAAGACUUGCCUUGAUCAUGGUGUCUCUUCACAGCAAUAAAACCCAAACUAAGACGCUUGAUAUUAUGGAC